UACGUAGGUGGCAAGCGUUGUCCGGAUUUACUGGGCGUAAAGAGCGCACAGGCGGUCGUCCAAGUCGCGUGUGAAAGCCCCCGGCUCAACUGGGGAGGGUCACGCGAUACUGGCGGACUCGAGCGAGGCAGGGGUUGUGGGAACUUCCGGUGGAGCGGUGAAAUGCGUUGAUAUCGGAAGGAACGCCGGUGGCGAAAGCGCACAACUGGUCCUCUUCUGACGCUGAGGCGCGAAAGCCAGGGGAGCAAACGGG
rnacentral:rRNA from 1 species